rnacentral:rRNA from 1 species
UACGGAGGGUGCGAGCGUUGUCCGGAAUCAUUGGGCGUAAAGGGCGCGUAGGUGGCCACUUCAAGCGUGCGGUGAAAGUCGGGGGCUCAACCCCUGAUCGGCCGUGCGAACUGGGGGGCUGGAGCACUGUAGAGGCAGGCGGAAUUCCGGGUGUAGCGGUGGAAUGCGUAGAUAUCAGGAGGAAUACCGAUGGCGAAGGCAGGUCUCUGGGCUGACACUGACGCUCAUGCACGAAAGCGUGGGGAGCAAACAGG